UGGGGAAUAUUGGACAAUGGGCGCAAGCCUGAUCCAGCCAUGCCGCGUGAGUGAUGAAGGCCCUAGGGUUGUAAAGCUCUUUCACCGGUGAAGCGGUAACCGGAGAAGAAGCCCCGGCUAACUUCGUGCCAGCAGCCGCGGUAAUACGAAGGGGGCUAGCGUUGUUCGGAAUUACUGGGCGUAAAGCGCACGUAGGCGGAUUGUUAAGUUAGGGGUGAAAUCCCAGGGCUCAACCCUGGAACUGCCUCUAAUACUGGCAAUCUUGAGUUCGAGAGAGGUGAGUGGAAUUCCGAGUGUAGAGGUGAAAUUCGUAGAUAUUCGGAGGAACACCAGUGGCGAAGGCGGCUCACUGGCUCGAUACUGACGCUGAGGUGCGAAAGCGUGGGGAGC
rnacentral:rRNA from 1 species